rnacentral:rRNA from 1 species
AUUGAACGCUGGCGGCAUGCCUUACACACGCAAGUCGAACGGCAGCACGGGGGCAACCCUGGUGGCGAGUGGCGAACGGGUGAGUAACGCAUCGGAAUGUACCCAGUAGUGGGGGAUAACUAGUCGAAAGACUGGCUAAUACCGCAUACGCACUACGGUGGAAAGCGGGGGAUCGCAAGACCUCGCGCUAUUGGAGCAGCCGAUGUCCGAUUAGGUAGUUGGUGGGGUAAAAGCCUACCAAGCCUGCGAUCGGUAGCUGGUCUGAGAGGACGACCAGCCACACUGGGACUGAGACACGGCCCAGACUCCUACGGGAGGCAGCAGUGGGGAAUUUUGGACAAUGGGGGCAACCCUGAUCCAGCAAUGCCGCGUGUGUGAAGAAGGCCUUCGGGUUGUAAAGCACUUUUGGUGGGAACGAAACGGCGCUUGCUAAUACCAGGCGCUAAUGACGGUACCCGCAGAAUAAGCACCGGCUAACUACGUGCCAGCAGCCGCUGUAA